rnacentral:rRNA from 1 species
ACAGAUAAGGAGCUUGCUCCUUUGACGUUAGCGGCGGACGGGUGAGUAACACGUGGGUAACCUACCUAUAAGACUGGGAUAACUUCGGGAAACCGGAGCUAAUACCGGAUAACAUUUGGAACCGCAUGGUUCUAAAGUGAAAGAUGGUUUUGCUAUCACUUAUAGAUGGACCCGCGCCGUAUUAGCUAGUUGGUAAGGUAACGGCUUACCAAGGCGACGAUACGUAGCCGACCUGAGAGGGUGAUCGGCCACACUGGAACUGAGACACGGUCCAGACUCCUACGGGAGGCAGCAGUAGGGAAUCUUCCGCAAUGGGCGAAAGCCUGACGGAGCAACGCCGCGUGAGUGAUGAAGGGUUUCGGCUCGUAAAACUCUGUUAUUAGGGAAGAACAAACGUGUAAGUAACUGUGCACGUCUUGACGGUACCUAAUCAGAAAGCCACGGCUAACUACGUGCCAGCAGCCGCGGUAAUACGUAGGUGGCAAGCGUUAUCCGGAAUUAUUGGGCGUAAAGCGCGCGUAGGCGGUUUCUUAAGUCUGAUGUGAAAGCCCACGGCUCAACCGUGGAGGGUCAUUGGAAACUGGGAAACUUGAGUGCAGAAGAGGAAAGUGGAAUUCCAUGUGUAGCGGUGAAAUGCGCAGAGAUAUGGAGGAACACCAGUGGCGAAGGCGACUUUCUGGUCUGUAACUGACGCUGAUGUGCGAAAGCGUGGGGAUCAAACAGGAUUAGAUACCCUGGUAGUCCACGCCGUAAACGAUGAGUGCUAAGUGUUAGGGGGUUUCCGCCCCUUAGUGCUGCAGCUAACGCAUUAAGCACUCCGCCUGGGGAGUACGACCGCAAGGUUGAAACUCAAAGGAAUUGACGGGGACCCGCACAAGCGGUGGAGCAUGUGGUUUAAUUCGAAGCAACGCGAAGAACCUUACCAAAUCUUGACAUCCUUUGAAAACUCUAGAGAUAGAGCCUUCCCCUUCGGGGGACAAAGUGACAGGUGGUGCAUGGUUGUCGUCAGCUCGUGUCGUGAGAUGUUGGGUUAAGUCCCGCAACGAGCGCAACCCUUAAGCUUAGUUGCCAUCAUUAAGUUGGGCACUCUAGGUUGACUGCCGGUGACAAACCGGAGGAAGGUGGGGAUGACGUCAAAUCAUCAUGCCCCUUAUGAUUUGGGCUACACACGUGCUACAAUGGACAAUACAAAGGGCAGCUAAACCGCGAGGUCAUGCAAAUCCCAUAAAGUUGUUCUCAGUUCGGAUUGUAGUCUGCAACUCGACUACAUGAAGCUGGAAUCGCUAGUAAUCGUAGAUCAGCAUGCUACGGUGAAUACGUUCCCGGGUCUUGUACACACCGCCCGUCACACCACGAGAGUUUGUAACACCCGAAGCCGGUGGAGUA